CGAGGCGAACCGGGGAAACUGAAACAUCUCAGUACCCCGAGAAAAAGAAAUCAACCGAGAUUCCCCCAGUAGCGGCGAGCGAACGGGGAGCAGCCCAGAGUCAACAUCAAUAUUUACCACAGGAGAAGGGUCUGGAAAGGCCGGCAAUAAAGGGUGAUAGCCCCGUAUCUAAAGCGGUAAGUGUUGUGAACUCGAAGAGUAGGGCGGGACACGUGUUAUCCUGUCUGAAUAUGGGGGGACCAUCCUCCAAGGCUAAAUACUCCUGACUGACCGAUAGUGAACCAGUACCGUGAGGGAAAGGCGAAAAGAACCCCGGCGAGGGGAGUGAAAUAGAACCUAAAACCGUGUACGUACAAGCAGUAGGAGCACCCGAAAGGGUGUGACUGCGUACCUUUUGUAUAAUGGGUCAGCGACUUAUAUUCUGUAGCAAGGUUAACCGCAUAGGGGAGCCGUAGGGAAACCGAGUCUUAACUGGGCGUUAAGUUGCAGGGUAUAGACCCGAAACCCGGUGAUCUAGCCAUAAGCAGGUUGAAG
rnacentral:rRNA from 1 species